UAAAAGCCCAAAUCACCCCAUUCUCCAAAGUUUUAAAUCUGCAGGAUAGAGAGAACUGCCCCACCUCCCACUCCAGCAACUCCAAAACUCUUUUAUCCCAGCAUAUCAACAUACCCCCAGCCGAGCCACACGCAUUCAGGGCCUUCCAUUCUAAAAAUCUACCCGACCCUAAGCUUCUCACCACGCUCUCAGACAUAAACUGAAUUUUUGUCUCCUGUAUACAAAAGAGAUCCACCUUCUGCUUCCUGACAACCGAUUUAAAAACCUUCCUUUUCCUGCUUUCAUUCACCCCCCUUACAUUCCAGCUUAACAAUUUAAUAUUCAUUAAACACACAUCAUCUGCAUCCCUUUGCCCUGAAAAGAGCCCUUCUUUUUGCUAUCCCCCUCAUAGUUCACAGAGCAUUCCAAUCUCUUUAGCUCCCUUUCAAACCUCGAUUUUUCCAACAAUCCUUUACUGUGAAUCUUUUCCCUUCUUUUCCUAAUUUUUGACAGGAAAUUUAAAAUCUCCUUCUCCAUCCCAUCAGUCGAGAAACCCAGGAAAAGGCUAAACCUUGCUAGGCUACUUUCUUGCCAAUCCAGCUCCUUUUCCCCCCUUCCAUCCUGAAUCACAUUUUGGGGAGGCC
rnacentral:lncRNA from 1 species